UCCAAAUGAACCUAGGUGAAAAUGUAAUUAUUGCAAGAAAGACUAUGCUUGUCAUAGUACUAGAGUAGGAACAAGCAGUAUGUGGAGUCAUUUGAAUAAUCAAUGUAAGAAAUAUUCAUUUAGGGUAUCUGAUAAGAAACAAAAGUUAUUGAGUUUUCAAAAUAGUAAUGAGGGUGGUGGAAAUUUGUUGGCAGUGGCCUUUAAUAAGGAGAAUUGUCGAAAAGCACUAGCUAAGAUGGUAGUGUUAAAUGAACAUGCAUUUAAAGUUGUGGAAAGUGAAGGUUUUAAACAUCUCAUGAAAGUAGUGCAACCUAGAUUUGUUGUUCCUGGCAAAAUGACAGUUGCUACAGAUAUAUACCAACUUUAUUUGGAUGAAAAAUUAAAACUAAAAGAGGAGUUGAUCAAGAUGGAUCAAAGAGUGUGUUUAACAACAAAUUCCUCAUAUGUGUCUAACAGCACACUACAUUGAUAGUAAUUGGUGUUUGUAAAAAGAAAUCAUAAGUUUUUGUCAAAUUCCAAACCAUAAAGGAGAUACCAUUGGUAAGAUGAUUGAAUCGUGUUUGCUUAGCUAGGGAAUAGAGAAGGUGUUUGUUGUGACUGUAGACAAUGCAUCGGCUAAUGAUGUAGUUGUUAAUCUUGUUAAGAGGAGAGUCAAUGCAUGGAAAGGGUCUGUUCUUGAUGGUGAUUUUAUGCAUUUUAGGUGUUGUGCUCACAUAGUGAAUUUAAUUGUGAAUGAGGGCCUAAAAGAUUUGCAUGAUUCAAUUGCUGCUAUUCAUAAUAUUAUGAGGUACAUUCGGUCAUCUCCUGCGCGAUUGGGAAAAUUAAUGAACGUGCUGAGAGAGAAAAGAUUGAUUAUAAAGGGGGUUGGAUUUUAGAUGUGCCUACAAGGUGGAACUCAACUUUUAUGAUGCUAGAUGUUGCUAUUAUUUUUGAGAAAGCAUUUUCAAGGUAUGACGAGGAAGAUGAUAGAUUCUUGAGUUACUUCAAUGAAAAUGAAAGUGGGAAGAAGAGAGUUGGACCGCCUACUAGUACUGAUUAGGAGAGUGCUAAGAUAUUUGUCAAGUUUCUACGCACUUUUUAUGAAGUCACACUAAAGUUUAGUGGUACCUUACAUGUUACAUCAAACACAUUUUAUCAUGAAAUUUGUGAAAUUCACACUCAAUUGUCUGAUUUUGCCUCAAGUGAUGAACAUUUGUUAUCUGUAAUGGCAGCCAAUAUGAAAAGAAAGUAUGACAAAUAUUGGGGGAUGUAGAAAACAUCAAUGUUAUGAUGUUUGUUGCUGUUGUGCUUGAUCCUAGGUAUAAGAUGAAGUAUCUUAAAUAUUGUUUUGAGAGUGUUUAUAAUACUGAAAUUGUUACAAAGAUUGUGCUCAAGGUGGAGCAAACCCUUCAACGUUUGUAUACUUGCUAUAGUAUGGAGAACAAAUCUAAGAUUGACGGUGAAAAAUACAAUAGUAGUGUAUCACCACCAAAGAGUGAGAUCAAGCACAUUCAUAAAAGAAAAUUAUUAUCUCUAUAUCUGCAACAAGAAGUGAUGAAGUGUUUGAGUGAGAAAAUGAAUGAUAUUAAGAGGUAUUUGAGAGAUGAGGUCGUUGAUCCAAUAACUUCUUCAUUUGAUAUCCUUACUUGGUGGAAGGAUAAUGCUAGGAGGUACAAUGUUUUGUCAUUGAUUGCAAGAGAUAUCCUUGCUAUUCCUAUUUAUACUGUGGCCUCUAAAUCUACUUUCCUAUUUCUACUGUGGCCUCAAAAUCAACUUUUAGUACUAGUGGUCGUAUUUUAGACUCAUUUAGAAGUUCUUUGAGUCCAAAUAUGCUAGAGGCACUAGUUUGCACUCAGAAUUGGUUGAAGGAAUCACAUGAAGGCAUUCAAGUUGAGAAAUACUUGGAUGACAUUCAAGCUUAUGACUUUCUUGAAGAAGAUAAUUCAGAUAAAGGAAACGUAAUACUAAAGGAGAAGAAGAAAAUUGAAACUGUGGUCGUUGACUAAGGAAUUAUAAGGUCAAUUUCUGGAGUGGAUGAAUCAUGAAGCUAGUUUAUUUAUCUUUUGAACUUUAUUUUUUCUUCAAAACUUUAGAAUUUCUAUUGUGAACAACUUUAUUUUUAUUGUGGAGACUUGAGAACUUUAACAUUCGCCAUUUAUAUUUUUAGUUUAUGGUUAACUACAAAUGAUAAGUUUGGUUUGAAUAUAUUAUUAUCUUAUGAUGCAUGCACCUAAAUCUAUUGUUAGGAUACAUAAGGUUUAAUAAUGCUAUCAUUUUCAUAGGCUUUAAUAGUAAUUACUUCUUAAUAUCUCACCAAUGAUCCAAAAAAUUUUUAAAUCAAACUUCGUACAAUUAACUUUAUCAUUUUCGUAAUAUAAAUAUUAAAGUCCAAAAUAUGAAUCCCAACCCAACCCUUAUAUCAUUAUAGUAAGUAGGGUUGGGAUGUACAAUUAAAAAAAAAAGUGAAUGGUUCAUAGUUUUUCCAAACCGCAGUUAUUGGGUUGGCCCAUUAAAACAUCUCCAACCCAGCCAACCCAGCCCAUGUGCAACCCUAAUCCCAAAUACUAGUAGUGUUCAAAAAUAGAGGGCUUAUGGACAAAAAUACGAACAUGAAGGCCGUAAGGCUGAAAAUAAAGUAAUGUUCUAAAAGGCCUCAGGCCACAUAGGACAUGAAAGUAUUGUUCUAAGAAAACCUCAAGCCACAUACGACAUGAAAGUAAAGUUCCAAAAAGGCCUAAAUGAAACAUAAAAGUGAGUAAUUUCUAAAAGCAAAAAUGGCACAAGUCAUAAAACGACACAGGCUAUGCAGAACAUGAAAACAUUAUCUAUGUGAUACAAAUAUGAUUCUGAAUAUUACUAAUAAAAAUAUUGUCUAAAUGUGUGUAGGGGCAGAAGGAGCUGAAUCUGGAGCUACAAGAUCAAUAUCCACAGAGUCCUAGCCGACCCCAGCAUUAGCAUGCUGGCUGGCCUAGUGGUCAAUGUCUUGGCCGACCACCUACUCAACAGGUGGGUCGGCCAACUCCUUGUCGUUUGUCCUUAAUAAUGAGCCUCUCGAUAGGUAGCAACCUUGUUUUUCUCCAUGUGGCUCUCUAAUAGUGCCUUUCCAUAGGCCAACAUUCUCUCCACAAAAGCCAUAUUGCCCAUGUAUGAUAGUCUAGCACGAGGGUUGUGCAACUGGAACUCAUAGGUAUGUUCAGAGGAUAGG